GGUUCCAUGGUGUAAUGGUGACCAGUCUGCACUUUGAAGCCAAUGAUCUGAGUUCGAACCUCAAUGGAACCUA